rnacentral:lncRNA from 1 species
CCAAUAGGUCGGUGGAAUAUCCCGAGCGAAAAGAGUCCUGAUCUGGCUCCAGAGGGGGGCGGGCGCCCAGGCUACCAGGGCGGGCGCCCUGGGCCUGGCCCUGUUUCGCCUCCGCUUCGGUCUCGUGGCUUCUGGAGUCUUCUAGAUGAUGUAAAAUCGUGCGGUGCGUUGAUAUCUCUAUGUAAUCCCGACAUGUGGGCCUUUCUUCCUUAUUUCCUGAUAACCCCCUGCAGAAAUAGAUAAACAACAAAACUCGUGGAAUUCUGUCAGAUCAAACUCUAAUUCUAGGUGUUGGUUGCAUAUUGGUCCUUUCUCUUGUUU